AUCCCAUGAUGAGGACACUCGAGUGUGUAGUCUUGAAAGUGCUCCCAAUCUUCUGGGACUGUCUCGUCAUGUUGUUUGCUGAAAACUCGAUAUCUUCCCACGCAGAGCAU
rnacentral:snoRNA from 1 species